rnacentral:rRNA from 1 species
UGGCCAGACUCCUACGGGAGGCAGCAGUGGGGAAUAUUGCACAAUGGGGGGAACCCUGAUGCAGCGACGCCGCGUGGGUGAAGGAGUAUUUCGGUAUGUAAAGCCCUAUCAGCAGGGAAGAACAAUGACGGUACCUGACUAAGAAGCACCGGCUAAAUACGUGCCAGCAGCCGCGGUAAUACGUAUGGUGCAAGCGUUAUCCGGAUUUACUGGGUGUAAAGGGAGCGCAGGCGGCGCGUUAAGCCUGGUGUGAAAGCCCGCGGCCCAACCGCGGGACUGCUCUUGGAACUGCGUGGCUGGAGUGCAGGAGGGGCAGGCGGAAUUCCUGGUGUAGCGGUGAAAUGCGUAGAUAUCAGGAGGAACACCGGUGGCGAAGGCGGCCUGCUGGACUGCGACUGACGUUGAGGCUCGAAAGCGUGGGGAGCGAACAGGAUUAGAUACCCCAGUACC